GCCAAGUUUAAGUACAUCACAGGAAGACGCUUUAUGUGCGAUGGAGUCUUGUAUCGAAAAGAUAAGACGCUGGAUGAUUCAGGAUAAACUCCUGAUGAACGAUGGCAAAACUGAAUUCUUGGUCAUUGGCACUCGUCAGCAAUUAUAUAAACUUCAGCCUAUCAGCAUUUCAGUUAAUAAUUCUGUGAUUUCUCCUAGCACACAUAUUAAGAACCUUGGCAGCUGGUUGGACUCGAACUUAAACAUGACGACUCAUAUUACAAAAGUACGUAAAGCCUGCUUUUUCCACCUGCAUAAUAUCAGACGAAUUAAGAAAUAUCUAUCAAGAGACAACUUACUGAUCCUAGUACAUGCUUUCAUCACCAGCAGGCUCGACUACUGUAACAGCUUAUUCUACGGUCUCCCCGGAAAGCAAAUAUCUAAACUACAGCGUGUUCAGAAUGCCGCUGCAAGAUUAGUAAUGGACGUUCCGAAAUAUUCUCAUAUUAUGCCCGUACUGUAUAUGAACUACACUGGCUUCCGG